UUUCAUGUUUUUGUGACAGUUUUUUUUCAAUUUUUUCUCCUUUUAUUUGUUUUUUUUCUUUUUUUUCCAAAUGGGAACAUAGAGCGAGAGGUAGAAAGAGAAAGAAUGAGAGGAUCAAUCAAUUGCUUCGAGCUUCUUUUGAACAAAAGAUUCAAAAACAGAAGAAACAUUAAGACCAGUGAUAGCAGAAGUUGGAAUAAUAUUCUCUCCUGGCACUAUUUUCAUCUCAUUUCUCAUCUUUCCUAAUAAUAAAUUGUAUGUAUCUUCUGAAUGAACCCCUCUCAUAUCCUCCCGAGUAGAAACAACAGCAAUCAUCCUCCGAUCAGGAAUAUUAUCAACCAAACACU
rnacentral:ribozyme from 13 species